GUCUCCGUACUUAUACUGUGCUGUGCUGCCUCUGGAUCCCUUAUGCAAAUGGCUGUGAGAUUACUGGCUGUUAAUGGAAUCCUGUAAUGCAGCAACACUGAAGAUCAGAAUCUCAUUACGGCGAGACACUAUGUGGGUCCUACGCUGCAAAGAACUCAACCCCUAAAUUAAGAAGGGGAAGACUAAAUGGAACAGCAGUACAGGACAGUGCAUCUCAGACACCCCUGAG
rnacentral:lncRNA from 1 species